rnacentral:lncRNA from 1 species
UAGUGUUCUUUGCUUUGAUUUCCUUUAUUCCCUGCAUUGCACCUUUAAAUAAUUCAUAGUACUUCCACUUUAAUUUCUGAGCAAUUUGCUAUUCCUGUCAUUUAGAUCGAUUUCCAUCAAACCAUUUCAUCCAUUGCUUCCAGGAGCUAGCACGCAUUCAGACACACACAAUCAAAGCCAUCUUUGGAAAAAUUGUUUGUGAGUAGUUUAAUCACUUUAGAGUCAAGCUAGAAUCAGAAAGUAAGCUUGUAAUUUGUUUUCCCAAUUGCUUGACAGUCUGAUCAACUUACAUUGAGC